rnacentral:lncRNA from 1 species
CAACUCUGCCCCUUUGCAUCACUCUGCCCUUUCCCAGCCCAUGCAGGUGGUAAACCUGUAUUAUGAUCACAGUGUAUGGGGUGAGUGUGUGUGUGUGUGUUACAAACAUAUUCAAUGGCUUUUUGAUAUGCAUUCUAUAUACAUUUUCUGUACUUUUUCUUAAUUUUAGAAAUAUAAUUUCCAAUGUCUAAACAGUGUUUUGAAAGACUUUCUCCCUAUUUUUUUAACAAAAUGGCUUCAAGAUGAAUGAGUUAGGGAAAAGUCAGUUAUUCAGUAUUACAGAAAACUUAAGCUUUCAAUUUAUUUUAGCAAGAUUUAGAAGCUCUAGUAAUUGUCAGACAAUGCCCCUCCCCAAAAAAUAGCCUGUGCACGUUUUAAAAUUCAGUUUAUUUUCUAACACAAAUUUCUGAUGCACUCAUAAAUAUACAGGAAUCACAAGUAUUUCAAUGUGGCAGAGUUGUACCUAGGAUACUGUAUAUAUUUUCAUAAACUAGAGUACUAUAGGUUUAUUAGUAUUUGUUAAUAAUAUUGUUUCAAUUUUUUUAAAAAAUGUAUUUCACCCCCCAAAAAAAGGCCUGCCUGAAACACACACGGCAGCAGCAUCACUGGAGUCCAGGGUUUUUGUCACAGAUACACAGCACAGAUUUUUUUGAUUAUGUAGAUUUCUUUUCCUACUGCAGUUUCAUAUGCAAAGCAUGCAUCAGCCACAUCCAUGCUAUCUCCUAAAACAGUCAUUCUGAAACCCAAUCUGAGGGCAGUGCAGACUAAAUAAAAUUUCAUUUUGAUUUGGCCUCCCGCUGCGAAUGGGACUGCUUUGUCUCAGCCGACAGAACCAGCAAGCCAGAAAGUGUCACACACCAUGAGAUGGAGUGCAAUGCAAACUCGAAUUGCUCUGACUCCCAGCACGUGUUCAUAACCACUGCACUGUCUCCUAAUUUUGACCUCGGCUCACUGACCCAUGAGGGGACAGGCAAGUGCGAAAGGACCGAGCGCCAUCACCCACAGCCUGCUUGCCACUGAAGACAGAAAGAACGCCCCAACUUUUAACCUGGCACGCUGGGCCGCACGGUAUACGCUCAUUAUGGCGCUGCAAGGGUUGGGGCAGGCCAAAACCAUGAGCUGGGAAUUCGGUCUACACCUCUCAUGUGAGUACCAGAGACGCAACUACGAAAGCCAUCUCUUGCUGCCUCACAUGGUGCACGUCAGCAGGAAAACGGAAUCAAGGAUGAACAGAGCCCAGACUUGAAUCCAGGCACCCCUCCAUGGCAUAAAGGCAUCCCAAGUGGUCCACCCUGGUAAUGUACUUACUAUUCUUAAUAUCUUUUCAAAACUAUACUGAAAAAAUAAAACCCAAUAAAUCAAAGGAAUAUAACA